rnacentral:rRNA from 1 species
AUUUAAUAGAAAUUAUUAUUAAUAUGAUCUGCUCAAUGAAUUAUUAAAUAGCCGCAGUUCAUACUGUGCUAAGGUAGCAUAAUCAUUUGUCUUAUAAUUCAAGACUAGAAUGAAAGAUUAAACAUUUAAAUUUCUAUUUUAAAUUCAAAUUUUGAAUUUAUUUUAAAUGUAAAAAAACAUUUAUUUAAAAGAAAGACGACAAGACCCUAUCGAACUUAACUUUAGUUAAACUGGGGCAGUUAAUUAAAUACAAUUUUAAUUAUAUCCCACUCAAAAAUAGACCCGAUCUAAUCGAUCUAAUGAUCAAGUUACCGUAGGGAUAACAGCGUAAUAACUUUCUAUAGAUCUUAUAAAAAAAAGAGAUUGCGACCUCGAUGUUGAAUAAUUCUCCUAAUAUAUGCAAUAAUAUAUAAAGAAAGUCUGUUCGACUUUUAAAUAAUCACA